GAGUACGUAGUUGAUCAGUGGCUCGAGGACACGCUGGCGGCGUGCUUAACACAUGCAAGUCGAACGGGGCGAAGUGAUAGCUUGCUAUUAUGGAGCCUAGUGGCAAACGGGUGAGUAACGCGUAGGCAACCUGCCCUUCAGAUGGGGACAACACCUCGAAAGGGGUGCUAAUACCGCAUGAGACCACAGAGGGACAUCCCUUAGGGGUCAAAGGAGCAAUCCGGUGAAAGAUGGGCUCGCGUCUGAUUAGCUAGUUGGUGAGGUAACGGCCCACCAAGGCGACGAUCAGUAGCCGACCUGAGAGGGUGAUCGGCCACAUUGGAACUGAGAGACGGUCCAAACUCCUACGGGAGGCAGCAGUGGGGAAUAUUGGGCAAUGGGCGAAAGCCUGACCCAGCGACGCCGCGUGAAGGAAGAAGGUCUUCGGAUUGUAAACUUCUUUUAUCAGGGACGAAAACUGACGGUACCUGAUGAAUAAGCCACGGCUAACUACGUG
rnacentral:rRNA from 1 species